rnacentral:rRNA from 1 species
AAUGAACGCUGGCGGCGUGCUCAACACAUGCAAGUCGAGCGAGGCCAGGGGGGCAACUCCCUGAGUCGAGCGGCGGACGGGUGAGUAACACGUGGGUAACCUACCCGGAAGUGGGGAAUACCUCGGGGAAACUCGAGCUAAUACCGCAUGACAUCUUUGGGACGAAAGUCCUGACGAUCAAAGCGGGGUCGCAAGAUCUCGCGCUACCGGAUGGGCCCGCGCCCGAUUAGCUAGUUGGUGAGGUAACGGCUCACCAAGGCGACGAUCGGUAACCGGCCUGAGAGGGCGAUCGGUCACACCGGAACUGAGACACGGUCCGGACUCCUACGGGAGGCAGCAGUGGGGAAUCUUGCGCAAUGGGCGAAAGCCUGACGCAGCAACGCCGCGU